AGGACAGUCCGUGGUGAUUUGGUCAGCCAGCUUGCAGCCACGUUAAAUGAAGUCGCUAAAAGGCCGUGGUUUGUUCCGG
rnacentral:ncRNA from 2 species